rnacentral:tRNA from 1 species
GGGGUCGUGGUGUAAUGGCAGCACAGCGGACUUUUAAUCCGCCGAGUGGGGGUUCGAGUCCCUCCGAUCCCA